UCUGGACAUUGUGAGAGCUUGGAGUUGAAGCUGCUGGCUGGCCGAAGAACUCACAAGUGUUGAUAGUGCGUUACAUGAAGGGCAAAUCUUUUGCUAACACCACAAGGCUCUCUGGCCCAAUGAGUGGAGUUUGAUAGUAAUUCUUUCUACAAGU
ensembl:snoRNA SNORA62 Small nucleolar RNA SNORA62/SNORA6 family